GCCGGGCACAGUGGCGUGUGCUUGUAGUCCCAGCUACUAGGGAGGCUGAGGAAGGAGGAUCCCUUGAGCCCCAGAGUUCUGGGCUGUAGUACACUAUGCCGAUCAGGUGUCUGCACUAAGUUCGACAUCAACAUGGUGACCUCCCGGGAGCUGGGGACCACCAGGUUGCCUAAGAAGGAGUGAACCGGCCCAGGUCAGAAACGGAGCAGGUCAAAACUCCCAUGCUGAUCAGUAGUAGAAUCGAGACAGUGAAUAGUCACUGCACUCAUGGCCUGGGCAACAUAGCAAGAUCCUGUCUCUA
rnacentral:SRP_RNA from 1 species